CUGCCUGUCCCGAACCAUGGAAUGAAGGAGCACCUGGGGGCAUGGAGGGAGUCAGCAGAGGAGCUGGGGGAGCCUUUCCCUGGAGGAACGGCUGGCUCCCUCUGGCAGUGGGAGGAAGAAGGUCCAGCUCGGGAGCUCUGACCACAUGUUUGCAGGGAGUUCCCGCCACCCAAGGCGCUGGCCCCUUCCGCACACUGCAGCCUCACCUGCGCAGCUCGGUCCCCCAUCUCCUGGC